GUCCACGCCGUAAACGAUGUCAACUAGCCGUUGGGAACCUUGAGUUCUUAGUGGCGCAGCUAACGCAUUAAGUUGACCGCCUGGGGAGUACGGCCGCAAGGUUAAAACUCAAAUGAAUUGACGGGGGCCCGCACAAGCGGUGGAGCAUGUGGUUUAAUUCGAAGCAACGCGAAGAACCUUACCAGGCCUUGACAUCCAAUGAACUUUCCAGAGAUGGAUUGGUGCCUUCGGGAGCAUUGAGACAGGUGCUGCAUGGCUGUCGU
rnacentral:rRNA from 1 species